GCGACCGCGAAGUUUAGUCAUCGUCUCCAGCUGCUGUCUUGCUCUUCCCCGCCAGCACCAGCACGCAGCACGCAGCACCAGCCACCACACCACCCGUCACGUCACUACUGCUCCUUCCUUUGUCCUCUCCUGCCUCACGUCUCACGCCAGCAGAAGCGCCAAACACCAGCAGCGGACGACCACGCCAACUCUAGGUCUACGAGGAAGGGGGGGGGGAGGGAGGAGCAGCGCAGCGGCAGCCGAUGGUGUCGACGAGCUCGACGCCGCACCCUCUGGAUCCGUCCGUCCCGGCCGUCGUGGGGGGCGGCAAGGAGGAGGAGGAGGAGGCGGUGGAGUCUUGUGCCGCCGCCGCCGCCACGCCCUUGCCGCCGGUUGGGAUCGACGACGAGGAGGAGGGCCCCCGGAGAGUGCGCAAGCCCUACACCAUCACCAAGUCGCGCGAGAGCUGGACCGACCCCGAGCACGACAAGUUCCUCGAGGCACUGCAGCUGUACUCUUUCGAGGAACCUACUGGUGUCGUUUCUGGGGACUACUCCAAAAGCGUGAGGAGGACACCAUAAGGAUUAAAGAUGCUUGCAGGGUGCUGGAAGCCACUACGAUGCAAAUCUUCGCAAUGCACGGUUGGAGCUUUAGAAACAGGCUAACUAAUAGCUAGUUUUCCAGGUCCCAACUGCGCUUGGGUUUGUUUGCCGCUUGUGGCUUCUUUCGUUUUUUAUGUCAGUACUUGUGGUUGUUGGACGGCUGUCAUCUUUGAUGUAGGCCGGGAACCCUUUUCCCAUUAUCUAAAAAAACCUCUGCUUUGUCUC